UACGUAGGGUGCAAGCGUUAAUCGGAAUUACUGGGCGUAAAGCGUACGCAGGCGGUUACGUAAGUCAGAUGUGAAAUCCCCGGGCUCAACCUGGGAAUGGCAUUUGAGACUGCGUAGCUAGAGUGAAUCAGAGGGGGGUAGAAUUCCACGUGUAGCAGUGAAAUGCGUAGAGAUGUGGAGGAAUGCCGAUGGCGAAGGCAGCCCCCUGGGAGAUCACUGACGCUCAGGCACGAAAGCGUGGGGAGCAAACAGG
rnacentral:rRNA from 1 species